rnacentral:lncRNA from 1 species
GACGAUUCGGGAACAAUAAAAGUAAAAACUUUCGGCAAAGACGCUGAAAAAUUCUAACAAGUCGUUCAAGAAGGAGAACUUCACACCCUGCAGUUCGCUAAAGUUGUCCCAACUGCAAACCCCACCAGAAAGGUGAAGGCUUCCAAUAUGUCAUUGAAAACAUUAGGGCCCGGAAGGAAUCACAGGGGUGUUGAAGAAUUUGAUGACACAAAUUUUGAUUGGCUAUCCUACCACGAAAAUGUUUAAAAAAUGUUUGAGCUGACAAACGAGUCUCCAACUGCUCCUCCAGCUUUAUUGCAGCUUUGGGAAUCAACUUUUUCUGGUCGAAGAAGGGAGCUCGAAACCAAUGUGCUUCCUCAAGGCGUAUUCCCUGUUAUAAAUACCUGAUGCCCUAUUCUCAAACUACAACAAUGCUUACUGGAAGAAUUCGAUUUGAUAUGUGGACCGGGAACAUGCAGGAUCUUUCGAGAAAACUGGCUCAAGUUAGUUCCAAACGUCAUUGAUAUUACUGGGAAGCAAAAGAUUUCGAAUAAAG